rnacentral:lncRNA from 1 species
AAAGGUACCAUAAGCGAAUAAUAAAAAAAGAAAGAAGGGAUGACACCCAUUAUCACGUUUGAAUCAGAAAGGGGGGAGGGCCAAAUCCCUAACCACCAAAUCUCAUACCCAAAGGCUGCACGAAGAAGGCCCCUCGGUGGCUUCAAUCACGCCGGCGAAGGUGUACCAUGUAUUUUUGAAAGACGUUCGUGGUGGUCCUUGAGGAUGAGGGAAACCUAUCCCUUUUCGGUGUUGGGAUGAAGGCUCGAUUUGUCGAUUUCUACUCCCUUUUCUAUCAAGGGAAAGAUUCACACUCGAGAGCAAGGGGACUCUGGGUUUUAUGGGUCAACGUGGACCAUGUGAGUAUGAAGAAUGUGGAAUGUGGGAUGUGAAUAGGAUAAACCCCUGCCUUAUAGCUUUUGUGACCUAUUACUGACUAUUAAAUUUAUUCUGUUGUAUUAGUUGUGUUCGGUUUUGUGUUUACCUUGAUCAAAAAGUCGAUGUUCUGUACUAUUUGGUUGUGUAUUUGUUAUGCUUUACCCAUUAGUGAUAGGUUGGUAGAAAUAAAGUCAAGAUUUCUCUUAUUAGAAUUAUCAUAACCAUUUCAAGUAUAUUCUUUUUUUUGUGUUUGCAUAUGGUGUGUUGGUCACUUUUCAAUUAAAGUUCUGGGUUUAUAAACACAUAAU